rnacentral:misc_RNA from 1 species
GAUGAAGAACGCAGCGAAAUGCGAUAAGUAGUGUGAAUUGCAGAAUUCAGUGAAUCAUCGAAUCUUUGAACGCACAUUGCGCCCCUUGGUAUCCCGAGGGGCAUGCCUGUUCGAGCGUCAUUUCACCACUCAAGCCUGGCUUGGUGUUGGGCGACGUCCUCUUUGGGGACGCGCCUCGAAACGCUCGGCGGCGUGGCACCGGCUUUAAGCGUAGCAGAAUCUUUCGCUUUGGAAGUCGGGGCCCCGUCUGCCGGAAGACCUGCUCGCAAGGUUGACCUCGGAUCAGGCGGGGUUACCCGCUGAAUUUAAGCAUAUCAAUAAGCGGAGGA